UUCCCUCCUGUGUUUGUUCCCCAGCUUCUGGUUCCUUCCCUCACUGGCACAGUGGAUUUUGCUCUGCAAACAGGGAAGCUCUGGCCCUCAGGAAGCCUGCAGGGGGUGGCCCAGGACUGUGACAUCACAGGAUAUUCCUCCAAUCAGGAAAAGCGAGCCCAGACUCAGCUCUUCCCCAAGGGGCCCAGGGCCUGAGCACAGAGCACAGUGCUGCCUGCCCCGCUGUGCCAUGGGCUCCAGGCUCCUCCCCUGGGCGAUGCUUUGCCUCCUGGGGACAGGCCCAGCAGAGGCUGGAGUCACCCAAACUCCAGGACACCUGAUCAAAGCAAGAGGACAGCAAGUGACACUGAGAUGUUCCCCUGUCUCUGGGCACAACCGGGUGUAUUGGUACCAGCAGGCCCUGGGUCAGGGCCCCCGGUUCCUCAUUGAGUAUUUUGAGGGGAAAGAGGGAGAAAAAGGAAACUUCCCUGACCGAUUCUCAGGUCACCAGUUCAGUGACUAUCGCUCUGAGCUGAACCUGAGCACCUUGGAGCCGGGGGACUCAGCCCUGUACCUGUGCGCCAGCAGCUUCCACAGCCCUGCAGAGCCACCAACGGUCUGUGCACAAACCUCCCUGCCCCAGCCUGGAGCAACCUCAGCCCUGAUGUAUCUGUGAGAACCUGCAGACCGAAGGGGCAGAGGGGAAGAAAAGUGGUGUUAAGGUGCUGGAAAGUGCUGUGGAGUGCGUCUUGGGGCUUUUGUGUCACUCAGGGCUGGGGAAACAAUGCCGAGAGCAGCUGUUCAGAGGACGGUGGGUGCCACUUUAGCAGGUCUACGCCAAAAUUGUCAUCUUUGCCUGACCCUCUGUUCUAGAGGGGUAGAAGAAGUGUUUGUAAUUUAAUAGCUUGCACCCUUUCUUUCAGCACAGAGGAUUUCAUUUUGGGG